AUUGAACGCUGGCGGCAGGCCUAACACAUGCAAGUCGAGCGGUAGAGAGGUGCUUGCAUCUCUUGAGAGCGGCGGACGGGUGAGUAAUGCCUAGGAAUCUGCCUAGUGGUGGGGGAUAACGUUCGGAAACGGACGCUAAUACCGCAUACGUCCUACGGGAGAAAGCGGGGGGAUCUUCGGACCUCGCGCCAUUAGAUGAGCCUAGGUCGGAUUAGCUAGUUGGUGAGGUAAUGGCUCACCAAGGCGACGAUCCGUAACUGGUCUGAGAGGAUGAUCAGUCACACUGGAACUGAGACACGGUCCAGACUCCUACGGGAGGCAGCAGUGGGGAAUAUUGGGACAAUGGGCGAAAGACCUGAUCCAGCCAUGCCGCGUGUGUGAAGAAGGUACUUCGGAUUGUAAAGCACUUAAGUUUAGGGAGGAAGGGUAGGUAACCUAAUACGUUAG
rnacentral:rRNA from 1 species